UGAGGUAAUCAGAACAUGCUUAUUACAUGAGGAUAUACACAAAUAGGUAGCUGUCUCACUGCUGUGGUCACACACUCUCAGUGGCUUCAGGGGAAGUACACACAACUAAGCCAAUAGCAUUUCAAUAUUGGUAGACCGUAAGUAGUGAUUGCAAUCAUAUCGUUAGGUAAUUACUACAGUUAAAUGCUACAACAGGACUUCGUGAGAUAAUGCUCACAAUUAAUUAACUUUCCAAUUUAGUUUAGCUCACAUAUACUUAGUGAUUGCCCCAUGAAUCUGCUUUCUUCCACUGAAAUAAGUGAAGAGUUAGUUUUCAAGAGUGCCAACCACAAAUGUGGUGUGACCAAAAACUGUAUAACUUUGAAUGCUGAUGGCAGCAGCUUUGAUUAUGAGGGUAACAACAUCAACAUGUUAAGUACUGUGGAUAGCAAGACAGAGAUGGCAAAACUAGCUAACAAUACUGUCUAUUGCACUACACCCUGAGAGAAAUCAGGAUGGGAGCCAAUAGAUUCCUUUCCUACUUUGUAUCAGACAGCAGUUCUUUCACUUACAUCUGAAGGCAUGUUAAAUUAUAUUAAAUGACAUCAAGAAAAAGCACUGGUGAAGAAACAAAGCUGCGAUGGAAAGUUAUUUUAAAGCUUGGUGUCAUAAGACCUACUUGAUCAUGACAGCUUUUUAAAGACUUGUACUCUGGUCUAACUAGACUAUAUCAAAAGACAGAAUGUUCAUAAUUCUCCAACUAAGAAAACUGUCCUGCUGACUUUGUAUAAAUGAAGUUAAAAAAAAAAAAAAAAAUUCUUGAAAGAGUUCUGAUGGGGUUUGUCCUUGCCUCAGAGAAACACUAUGUCUCCAAACUGAUCCUUGGUGUCUGUAUUUAAUUCCUCCAGUUUUGGAUCCUUAUCUGCUGUUAAUAAAGAAACUGGUUGCUCCAUCCUUCA